UGACAGAGAAAGAGAGAGGCAGAGACACAGGCAGAGGGAGAAGCAGGCUCCAUGCAGGGAGCCCAACGUGGGACUCGAUCCUAGGUCUCCAGAAUCAGGCCCUGGGCCGAAGGCAGGCGCCAAACUGCUGAGCCACCCAAGGAUCCCCUGCCCCCAAUAUUUUAUGGCAACACGAGAAGUCGCAGAGUUUACUGUCCGAGCAUACAGCCCUCACUUUGUGCCCUUGUUGGCACCAAUCCUGGCCUUGUCCUUACUGGCCGUGACCCUCGCCAAAGCCCCGGGCACAGAGGCCGCCCCCUACCAGGGACAGUGUCUCUCAGGGUUACUCCAGCCAAUCACUGCCUCGCAGGCACCACGGUGGCAUCGACCAUUCGCUGUACCUGGCUCGCAUCUCACAAUCUCCCAACAAUCCUAGCGCAGCAGCCGGGACCCCCACUUGACAGCUGAGGAGGCUGGGGGUGCAGGGCUGGAGAGUUAGCACCUUGCCCAAACUCACUCAGCUCAGCGGGCAAGAGGGGCCAUCAGACAUGCAGGGAGACGUGCGUGAACCGGUGCACCUGCGUGUGCCGCACGGGCACGUGCAUACGGAGCGCGGGUCCCUUUCUCAGCCACAGGACGCGACCGGCCACACGGCUGGGUGUCCGCCUACGUCCCUGGAAGCAGAAGCCCCGGCUGUGGUCAGAUUCCCCCAUCCUGCAGGCCCCGGGUGGCACCCCGGCCCACCCCCGCCGUCGGGAACCGAAGGCUGGUUUCAGGUGGUCCGGGGAGGGCGGUGGGGCGGGGAGCAGAGCCACCUCCCCAGGGUCUUCCAGCUCGGCCUGUAGGGAGAGGAGACACAGAGCCCACUCCUCGCCCAGUGACGCCCCACAUCACAAUGGCUGUUCUACCCCAGCCAGGCCUGGGAAGAGGCGCCAGGGGGGCCCCCACUCUGGCGUGAGGGCAACCAGACAGCGCCAUGGGGACCCCUCGGGACAAGCGCUCGGCCGCUCUGGGCUCGGAACCCGACGCCGCCCGGAUACCGCUGCUGGAACAAAGGUCGCCCGGAGCACCCCGGUGGAACUAUCCCCAGGGGCCUCCUCCUCCUCCUGGUCCUCGGCCUCCAGGUGCUCCGAGUCCUCCCCCGUUGUACAUCCAAAGCCCCCAGGCCUUUCACCCCGGGCUCAGCAGCUUGCCUAGGAUGGGGUCUGCUACCCCCAUACAGUCCGUAUGUCCCUACUGCGGGAACUACAUCAUCACAGUGACCAACCCGGUCCCGGGGACCCUCACCUGGCUGCUGUGUACAGUUCCUUGUGUNCCCCCCCCCCCCCCCCGUCCACCUUUUCCCCCGCAGGGGCCCUGAGCAUCCCCAGGGACAGGGACAGAUGGCCUGCUGGGUUGGGGGAGGGCUGCCUGUGGGGCGGACAGGCCGGGCAGGCGCAAGGGCAGGCGGGGGCCCAGGUGAGGACGUCGAGGCUGCACCCCCACCCCGCUGCUCCUGAGGCUGCAGGUGCUUCCUGGGCUGCUGCCUCCUCCCCUUCUGUGUGGACAGCCUGAUGGAUGUGAAGCACACGUGCCCCGUGUGCCAGCACGAGCUCUUCCGCUACCGUCGCCUGUGAAUGUCCGCGAAAUAAAUGUCCAUUAAAUGCCGCUUGUCUGCCCA
ensembl:lncRNA